rnacentral:rRNA from 1 species
ACGCUGGCGGCGUGCCUAAUACAUGCAAGUCGAACGGUCUUUCUAUGGAAGCUUGCUUCCACUGAGAAGAUAGUGGCGAACGGGUGAGUAACACGUGGGUAACCUGCCCAUAAGAGGGGGGAUAACAUCCGGAAACGGGUGCUAAUACCGCAUAGUUUUCUUGAUCGCAUGAUUGAGAGAGGAAAGACGGCCUUUGUGCUGUCGCUUAUGGAUGGACCCGCGGCGUAUUAGUUAGUUGGUGAGGUAAUGGCUCACCAAGACGAUGAUACGUAGCCGACCUGAGAGGGUGAUCGGCCACAUUGGGACUGAGACACGGCCCAAACUCCUACGGGAGGCAGCAGUAGGGAAUCUUCCGCAAUGGACGAAAGUCUGACGGAGCAACGCCGCGUGAGUGAAGAAGGUUUUUCCGGAUCGUAAAACUCUGUUGUCAGAGAAGAACAAGUUGGAGAGUAACUGCUCCAGCCUUGACGGUAUCUGACCAGAAAGCCACGGCUAACUACGUGCCAGCAGCCGC